GAUUUCGUCAUGAAAUAUCUAUUCGUUUGUAGCUUUUUCAAGUUGAGAUCUUCAAUUCAAGAGUUCAUCGUAAACAAGUAAUUUUAUUAUAUCAAGUGUACGAAGAAAGAAGAAAUUUUGAAUGAAAUCUUCGAGCUGCUGUUCUGGGUAGGACUCAACAAACGAAAAUCACAUCUCUAUAAGUGAAUCGUCAAAACAUCGAAAACUGGUCAGGUGUUGCAAAAAUCUGGUUCGAAUUUGUUUAUCACCUGUGCGUUGAUGCAUCGAAAUGGAUCCGAGUUUACUAGAAUCUUCCAGAGCAGACAUGUUAUUGAUAAGAACGUGAAUAAUAAGAAGGAUCUAAACAGGCUGGCGCCAUUAUUAUCGAAAACAAGUGUUGUUCGUACGUGAAUUGUUUGUGAAGAAUUAUUGAUGAAAAAUAUGAAUUUUCUGGUGAAAAUUGCGAAAAUAUGAUUCCUUGGAUACUGGAAAGUCUUCAGAAGUGAUGGAUGGAAUUGGAGCUGAGUUGAUUACAGGAUUUUCGGACGAAAAUGUGAG